AUUGAACGCUGGCGGCAGGCCUAACACAUGCAAGUCGAGCGGCAGCGGGAAAGUAGCUUGCUACUUUUGCCGGCGAGCGGCGGACGGGUGAGUAAUGCCUGGGAAAUUGCCCAGUCGAGGGGGAUAACAGUUGGAAACGACUGCUAAUACCGCAUACGCCCUACGGGGGAAAGCAGGGGACCUUCGGGCCUUGCGCGAUUGGAUAUGCCCAGGUGGGAUUAGCUAGUUGGUGAGGUAAUGGCUCACCAAGGCGACGAUCCCUAGCUGGUCUGAGAGGAUGAUCAGCCACACUGGAACUAAGACACGGUCCAGACUCCUACGGGAGGAAGCAGUGGGGAAUAUUGCACAAUGGGGGAAACCCUGAUGCAGCCAUGCCGCGUGUGUGAAGAAGGCCUUCGGGUUGUAAAGCACUUUCAGCGAGGAGGAAAGGUCAGUAGCUAAUAUCUACUGGCUGUGACGUUACUCGCAGAAGAAGCACCGGCUAACUCCGUGCCAGGAGCCGCCGUAACAC
rnacentral:rRNA from 1 species